CCCUACGGGGUGCAGCAGGCGCGAACACUUUACAAUGCGGGAAACCGCGAUAAGGGAACCCCGAGUGCCAGCAUCAAAUGUUGGCUGUCCGGAUGAUUAAAAAUCAUUUGUUAGCAAGGGCCGGGCAAGACCGGUGCCAGCCGCCGCGGUAACACCGGCGGCCCGAGUGGUAGCCGUUUUUAUUGGGUCUAAAGGGUCCGUAGCCGGCCUGAUAAGUCCUUUGGGAAAUCUGGCAGCUUAACUGUCAGGCUUCUAAGGGAUACUGUCAGGCUUGGGACCGGAAGGGGUAAGGGGUACUCCAGGGGUAGGAGUGAAAUCUUGUAAUCCCUGGGGGACCAUCUGUGGCGAAGGCGCCUUACCAGAACGGGUCCGACGGUGAGGGACGAAAGCUAGGGGAGCAAACCGGAUUAGAUACCCGGGUAGUCCUAGCUGUAAACGAUGCUCGCUAGGUGUCAGACACGGUGCGACCGUGUUUGGUGCCGCAGGGAAGCCGUUAAGCGAGCCACCUGGGAAGUACGGUCGCAAGGCUGAAACUUAAAGGAAUUGGCGGGGGAGCAC
rnacentral:rRNA from 1 species